AUGAACGCUGGCGGCGUGCCUAAUACAUGCAAGUCGCGCGAACAGACGAGGAGCUUGCUCCUCUGACGUUAGCGGCGGACGGGUGAGUAACACGUGGAUAACCUACCUAUAAGACUGGGAUAACUUCGGGAAACCGGAGCUAAUACCGGAUAAUAUAUUGAACCGCAUGGUUCAAUAGUGAAAGACGGUUUUGCUGUCACUUAUAGAUGGAUCCGCGCCGCAUUAGCUAGUUGGUAAGGUAACGGCUUACCAAGGCGACGAUGCGUAGCCGACCUGAGAGGGUGAUCGGCCACACUGGAACUGAGACACGGGCCAGACUCCUACGGGAGGCAGCAGUAGGGAAUCUUCCGCAAUGGGCGAAAGCUUGACGGAGCAACGCCGCGUGAGUGAUGAAGGUCUUCGGAUCGUAAAACUCUGUUAUUAGGGAAGAACAAAUGUGUAAGUAACUAUGCACGUCUUGACGGUACCUAAUCAGAAAGCCACGGCUAACUACGUG
rnacentral:rRNA from 1 species